AGCAGCCGCGGUAAUUCCAGCUCCAAUAGCGUAUAUUAAAGUUGUUGCAGUUAAAAAGCUCGUAGUUGAAUUUCGGGGUCAGCAAGUUGGUCGUGCCACUGGUAUGCACUGGCUUUGCUGAUUCCUCCUUCUUGAAGAACUGUAAUGCUAUUAAUUUAGUGUUGCAGGGAAACAGGACUGUUACUUUGAAAAAUUAGAGUGUUUAAAGCAGGCUAACGCUUGAAUACAUUAGCAUGGAAUAAUGAAAUAGGACGUUUGAUCCUAUUUUGUUGGUUUCUAGGAUUGACGUAAUGAUUAAUAGGGAUAGUUGGGGGCAUUAGUAUUCAAUUGUCAGAGGUGAAAUUCUUGGAUUUAUUGAAGACUAACUACUGCGAAAGCAUUUGCCAAGGAUGUUUCAUUAAUCAAGAACG
rnacentral:rRNA from 1 species